AAAGCGAUUGCCUUAGUAGCGGCGAGCGAAACGGCAAGAGGGCAAACCGAAGAGUUUACUCUUCGGGGUUGUAGGACUGCAACGUGGACUUAAAGAUUAUAGAAGAACUACCUGGGAAGGUAGGCCAAAGAGAGUAAUAGCCUCGUAUUCGAAAUAGUCUUUAUACCUAGCAGUAUCCUGAGUACGGCGAGACACGAGAAAUC
rnacentral:rRNA from 1 species